GGUUUCAGAAGAAUUGGGUGGUUGGUCGCUAGAGUCGCGCUUCAGAGAGAUGAUGUGGAGCUCGUCGCCGUCAAUGAUCCGUUCAUCACAACCGACUACAUGACAUACAUGUUUAAAUAUGAUACCGUGCAUGGACAAUGGAAGCAUCAUGAGAUAAAAAUGAAGGAUUCCAAGACCCUUCUUUUUGGAGAGAACGAAGUUACUGUCUUUGGCAUCAGAAACCCUGAGGAGAUUCCUUGGGCUGAGACUGGAGCUGG